GUCUCUUUCUUCUCCUUCUUCACAGUUGCUAUGGUGGAAUUGAUGUUCUCUAAUGAUCAAUUUUUUCCUCAUAACUCUAUUCAUCUUUGUUUCAGUUUUCUGGUCAGAACAAAAACAAUAAAAGGCAAAGGCCCAUGAUACAUGAAUCAUUUUGUGCCAAUCUUACUACACAAUACCGAAGCCUCCACUGCUGCCGUCUAGUAGCCGGUUCCACAAUCUCCACUCCACCACCGACGUCUAGUCAAAAAACGCAGUUCCUCUGGUAGAAGCUAUGUCGCUGUGAAUCAUCAUCACAAGAUGCCUUUUACCAUUGUAGAUCCGAUUAUCGUCUUCUUCCUUGUGCCACCAACACUCGUCUCCGAUAAGCCAUCAAACGGUAUAACUCAUUUCUCAAGAAAUCGUCUUUGUGGAGGAUCACAAAGUGACACCAAUGCUGAUUAAAUACAUCCGAGAGUUGGAUCUUGAAGUUCUCACAGCGAGCUAGUUGAUAAUAUGGUAAAGUUCUGUUACUAUAAAUACACUACAAAAAAUAUUAACAUUCUUAGCUCACGAUUUACGCUAUAAUAGGUCUUUCAUAGCGUUUUACCAUCUGCCAUGUAAUCGGCAGCCAUCAUAGUUACCCCUUCUAUGAUAGCAUUUUUUAAAUGUUACAAAAUGUAGAGAUACAAUAGCAAUACUUAAAUGAUAUUGUUAUCUUUGACUAUAGCACUACUUUCGUGCUAUUUAUAGAUCAUUCUACAAUAAACCAAAAAUAAUUAUAAUUUAAAAUUAAAUAAAUAAAAAUGAAUCGAAAAUUGUUGUAUAAUUAAAAAUAAAAUAAAUUUUAUUUAUAAAUUAAAAUUGGUUUACAAAUAAAUUCCGGUUUAAAAACCUAACCAGAAAUUAAAAAAUAAAGUUAAACCACUACAAUUUUUGGUUACACUAAACCAAAAAAAAACUAAACCUAAAAAAAAAACGAAGACUCCCUAUCCUCUAACUCAGCCGCCUUCAACCACCACCGCGUUCAACUACCUUCACAGCGUCUUCUUCUUCAUCCUCUCUGGCCAGCCGAAUCUGAGCAAGUUACGGUGAUGUCUCUUCUUCUUCUUUGCUUCUUUCCUUCUUUCUCUUUCGUCUUGUUGUGGAGGAGCAGAGUAGGGAAGAGAGGAGAAGACAGCGGAGGGGAAGAGAGGAACAGGACCGAAGAUCAGAGACGGAUUUGAAGGAGAGGGAUGGCGGAGGAGCAGAGACGUAUCUGAAUGAGAAUGACGCCACGGGCUUGCCUCCUCCAGUCACCAAGAGCUUGGUUCGACCUCCACUAGCUUCCUCUGUCAUCCACCAAACCCUAAAUCGAUUUCAAUAGACAUCAAUUAGCCCAAUCCAAAUAGCUUUAUUUAACCCAACACACACAGAGAUUCAAAGAAGAUGAGUGGUCUUUGCUGUGAAGGAGGGAGACGUCACAGAGUAGAGAUGCGUCACGGUGCUUCCUUCACAACAACGACAGAGGCGGGGCUUCCUCCACUACAGCUUCCGUGCGCCUUCCGAGGCUUCACCAUCUCCGCUUUCAUUGUAGUCAAAGAAGGAAGAAACUGAAAAAUAAGGAGAGUCGAGAUCAAGUAAGGGAAUCCCAACAGAGGCGAGGAAGGAGGAGAUAGAAGAAAAAAAUGGUUUUUAAUCUCUGUGCAUUUGUGUCCGUUAGAUUAACUUUCAUCAGUGGUUGUGAUUACACAAUGAGUGAUCCACAACCUUUAAUCUGAUUGGCCACAUUUUUUUUUCCUAAAAUUUGAUUGGUCACGUUAUAUCAACCAAUCAGAUAUUUUGAAAUUGUUUCUUUGUAUCCAUUGUUUUUCUAUU